rnacentral:lncRNA from 1 species
UUAACUGCCAGAAAAUGUGAAUUAAAAGGUGUCUCUCAUUUUCUCUUCCAGGGAAAUCUUGAGGAGUUUGACACUUUUCAUCCUCCAGCCAUUCAUCAUUUUGUGGGGGAGGCUACACAUUGGUAGGAAUAAAAAGCGAGCAGUUCCUGGCCAGUGA